rnacentral:tRNA from 1 species
GAUGGUGAAGCCAAAUGGUAAGGGCAGUGGUCUGCAAAACCACCAAUAGCCGGUUCGAUUCCGGCCACCAUCU